rnacentral:rRNA from 1 species
UACGAAGGGGGCUAGCGUUGUUCGGAAUUACUGGGCGUAAAGGGCGCGUAGGCGGCUUUGUCAGUCAGGCGUGAAAGCCCCGGGCUUAACCUGGGAACUGCGCUUGAUACUGCAAGGCUUGAGUACCGGAGAGGUGGGUGGAAUUCCCAGUGUAGAGGUGAAAUUCGUAGAUAUUGGGAAGAACACCGGUGGCGAAGGCGGCCCACUGGACGGUAACUGACGCUGAGGCGCGAAAGCGUGGGGAGCAAACAGG